GUGAACCUGCGGAAGGAUCAUUAGUGAAUAAUCUGUGUGGGUUGUUGCUGACUCCUCGGGGUAUGUGCACACUUGCCAGUUUCAUUCAUCCCUUCCACCUGUGCACUCUUUGUAGAUCAUUCCAUUGUAUUUGACAUGCCCUCUGGGCGUCUCAGUGUGAGGACUUGCUCUUCUUGCUGUCCUUGAAUGGGGUGGUCUAUGUCUUUAUCAACUCUGUAUGUUAUUGAAUGUCUGUUCUGGGUACUAUACAGACCCAUAAAACCUUAUACAACUUUCAACAACGGAUCUCUUGGCUCUCGCAUCGAUGAAGAACGCAGCGAAAUGCGAUAAGUAAUGUGAAUUGCAGAAUUCAGUGAAUCAUCGAAUCUUUGAACGCACCUUGCGCUCCUUGGUAUUCCGAGGAGCAUGCCUGUUUGAGUGUCAUUAAAAUUCUCAACCCCAUCUUUCUUGUGAAUGAAUGGUGUUUGGAUGUGGAAGCCUGCUGGCCUUGCAUAGGUCAGCUCUUCUGAAAUACAUUAGCGGGGCCGCUGUAUGCGAAGCUGCAGCUUGGUAAUGAUAAAUGUCUUACCAGGUCACAGUUAAGCAAAGUGCCCAGCUUACAGUCGUCUCUGUGAGACACUUGACAUGACAAUUUGACCUCAAAUCAGGUAGGACUACCCGCUGAACUUAAGCAUA
rnacentral:rRNA from 1 species